rnacentral:misc_RNA from 1 species
CUACUUUCUCGGAGUCCAAACAGAAAAAGAGAAGAUGUCCGUGCUAAUAACUACAAGUUUAGGAGACAUAGUGGUUGAUUUAUUCACAGAGAAGUGCCCCUUGACCUGCAAGAAUUUCUUGAAGCUUUGCAAGAUUAAGUAUUAUAAUGGCUGCCUAUUUCACGCGGUUCAGAAGGAUUUUACUGCACAGACUGGUGACCCAACUGGUACAGGAACUGGUGGUGAUUCAGUUUACAAAUUUCUUUACGGUGAUCAGGCUCGAUUUUUUAGUGAUGAAAUCCAUCUUGAUUUGAAACAUUCCAAGACUGGAACUGUUGCAAUGGCCAGUGCUGGAGAGAAUCUGAAUGCUUCCCAGUUCUAUUUCACACUGCGUGAUGGUCUGGACUACCUAGAUGGGAAGCAUACAGUCUUUGGAGAGGUGGCAGAAGGGCUUGACACUUUGACUAGGAUAAAUGAAGCUUAUGUGGAUGAAAAGAACAGGCCAUAUAAAAAUAUUCGGUUUGCCAUUCAUCUUCUGUGGAUAUACUAUUUCUGCUUAAUGAUGCUUUCAUUUCAAUGAAAUAAAUGAAUAUUUUCAGUUCAACGACAUAAAUAUUGCAUUUGAACAGAAUCAAACACACCUAUGUACUUGAUGAUCCUUUUGAUGAUCCUCCUCAACUAGCAGAGUUGAUUCCUGACUCUUCUCCUGAAGGCAAACCAAAGGAUGAGGUUGAUGAUGAGGUGCGGCUUGAAGAUGAUUGGGUGUCUAUGGACGAGCAAUUAGGUCCAGUGGAGCUUGAGGAGGUUCUUCGAGCAAAGGAAGCUCAUUCUAGUGCAGUUGUACUUGAGAGUAUUGGGGAUAUUCCUGAUGCCGAGAUAAAACCUCCUGAGAAUGUUCUCUUUGUCUGUAAACUGAAUCCUGUUACUGAAGAUGAGGACUUGCAUACAAUCUUUUCACGAUUUGGAACCGUUGUAUUGGCUGAAAUAAUACGUGAUUACAAGACUGGAGAUAGUUUGUGCUAUGCUUUUAUAGGUAAGUAGAAUCUUGUCUUUUUGUUGUUUUGUGCUAGACUGCCCACAUGUGUGUGCAAGUAGAUUGGUCAUUUUGCUGGAAAAUGUUGUGCAAACAGUGGUAAGAUUUUGGAGUUCCACAAGUUUGAUUGGUUACAAUAAUCCUCCAAUGGACUUUGAACUUCGAUGUUAUAGGACUAGCUGAACUUAUGACUUAAAAAUUUGUAUUAAAGUUGCUAUGGCAGUAUUUUUGUAUGCUGGACUUUGUUCUAUACAAUGAUGAUUUAAAGGAAAAUAGAAAUGACUGUUGAUAAACAGCUAUGCCAUUUUUUUUACGUGAAUCUUGAUGAGGAUUGAUCCUAAAAUUGACCCUAAAUGGAUAGCAAUGGCAAGUAAAAGGGUGAAGUAUUUGUAGGUCAAUCACAAUGAUUGGAUUUGAUCAUUAAACUAUCUUUUGGUACUAAACUCUUGCUAUACUACUUGAGAGAACUUUAAAAUCAGUAAUGUUAGAGCAAGUUUCUAGUUGUCUUGGCAAGUUUUUCAGUGUGUAUUCAUGAACAUGUAUGUGGUUAGGCUUUUUUCUUUUUUGAAAAUAGAGGAUUUGUUAUAACUUUGUUAAUUGUUAUACUUUCUUCUAAACUACAAAACAUUUCUGUCGUCACUCAUCAGUAUCUGCCAUUCCAUUGAAAAGUUUGAAAUUUGGAGUUAAGCAGAUAUGAAGAGAAUAUUCUACACAUAUUUUGACACUGGAAAAUGCUAACAAUGAUAACUAAUAUCUCCAUCAAAGGAGUUUUCAAAGGAUUUAUUGCUGUAAGGUGGAUGCAUCACUUAUUGUUGGCCCCAACAGUAUUUUCUAUUUUAAUCAGAUAUAUUCUCUUUUUUUCCCGAGUCCGCUUGUCUCUUUGACAUGCGUAAUGAUGUUCUUCUUUUUGUUGAUGCAUAGUGACCAGAUUGUUGAUGUCAUAUGAUCUCUGUAAAUAUUUUGUUGUUUUGGCUUCCUUUAAAUAUGUUUGUACUGUAUAAUUUACAUUCUACUUUUGCCAAGUCAGAGUUUGAGACCAAAGAGGCAUGCGAACAAGCAUAUUUUAAGAUGGAUAAUGCUUUAAUUGAUGAUAGAAGGAUACAUGUGGAUUUUAGUCAAAGUGUUUCAAAACUAUGGUCUCAAUAUAGGCGCAAGAACAGCCAAACUAGUAAAGGAGGAGGUUGCUUCAAAUGUGGUGCACCUGAUCACAUUGCUAAGUAUUGCGCUGGGGGUCCUGCCAACAAGCAACUUCAACCUCCAAAAUAUGUUCUGAAGGAUGAUAAUCUGCAACGUGGUGGAAAUAAUAACUCUAGAUAUGAAAUGGUAUUUGAUGGAGACACUCCGGAAAGUCCAAGACAAGAAAUGAGAAUUGGGCGCCAUGAUCCAGAGAGAGAGAGGAAGUACAGGACAAGUUCAGAAGACCUGAAACACAGGGAUGAAGAAAAGAAAUAUUCAAGUGAUAGGCACAGGCAUAGUGGACACAAGGAGGAUGAUAGACAUCAUCAAAGGAAAAAAAGUAAAUAUCCUGAGGAGCGAAUUGAUAGAAGAAAAGAACGAGAUGAUGAUAGGAGAGAUGACCGAGAAUACAGAAAGAGAAGUUCUGAUACUGAAGGCUGUGGAGAUGAGAGGGAGAAAGAAAGUUAUAGGAAGAGAACUGCAGGUGAUGAAAGUCGCAGGGGAGAAUUGGGGGAUGGGACCGAUUCUAAAAGGCGGUACGUAGAUGGUGACAGACGUGACACAAGAGAUGAACCAAGUUAUAGAAAUUAUGAUUGCCACAGAGGCAGGAGGGAAGGGCGAGAAUAUAGAUAUCAAGGCAGAGAAAGUGGUGAUGAUCAUGAUACAAGGCAUCGAAGUGAUAGAAGGAGAUGAAGACUUGAACUUGGUUUUGGAGUUUCUUAUCAGUUAUUCUGAUGACUGCAUCACUCUUAAACCAUUAAAUUUAUGUAAUUUCUUGCACAAAAAUCCUCAAAAGCAAGCCUGGGACCUUUCGGAGAGUAUUUGUUUUGUCGUAACUCAAACGUCAAGCAAAUCCCUAACAAUCGGAUCGUUAGGGGAUAAUUAGGUCGUUAGAAAACGAUCUCAUUUAGUACCUGCGAAGCUAAUCAAACAUAAUAUCAAAAUGCAUUUCUG